rnacentral:rRNA from 1 species
UAGUCAAUGCUCGCAAGAGUGAACUAGCUAACUGAAAUCAUAUAUGUGUCAUAUGUGAUAAAAUAAGGGAAAAUAAUGAUAUUACCUUAUUAUUAGUGUUGUCCAAAACUGGUGCCAGAAGACUCGGUAAGGCCAGAGACGCAAACGUUAGUCGUCCUAAUCAGGCGUAAAGGGUUUGUAGGCUGCUUUAAAAGUCUUAUUUUUAAUAUAGCUAAAAUAAAGAUAAGAUCAAUUAAAGCUAGAAUCAAAUAGAGGGUAAACCAAAUAAUACUUAGAGUAGGGCCGAUAUCCAUAAAUACUAGGUGGAAUACUAAAGGUGAAAGCUUUUUAUCUACUAAUGAUUGACGCUGAGAAACGAAGGUGAGGAAAGGAAACAGGAUUAGAUACCCACAUACCCCUCUCUGUCAACGAUGAAUGGUGGCUUGCUAAUUGAAUAAAACAUUAAAAAGUUUAAUGUAAUUAUAAUAAAAAAUUGGUAGCGAUGUUAACACGAUAACCAUUCCGCCUUGUGAGUACGACUGCAAAGUUGAAAACA